rnacentral:lncRNA from 1 species
CCUGGUGGUGCACGUCCCCAAACUUAUGUGGAUUUCCUAAAUUCUGCAAAAAAGGUUUGGAAGCUGAUCAAGCAAUACUGGAACUCCCUCUUCUCCAGAAGAGACAUCCUGGCCUCCAUGCAGAGGAAUGUGUGGAUGGACAUAUAUUUAAGGAAGACACUAAACCAGAAACUACUACAUUACACCCUCUUAGAAGAUUUCUAAGAUUGUUGUCAUGCCUACCACAGACAUUCAGAUGAUGUGUAUUGUUGAUUGUGAUUUCAUGUUUGGACCUGAUGAAGGAGUUUGAAGUCUCCAGAGCAGCAAAGAGAGUGGGGAGUAGAACUAUUCAUCUUUAGGUCACUCAUCAUCG